AGCGUAGACGGUGUGGCAAGUCUGAUGUGAAAGGCAUGGGCUCAACCUGUGGACUGCAUUGGAAACUGUCAUACUUGAGUGCCGGAGGGGUAAGCGGAAUUCCUAGUGUAGCGGUGAAAUGCGUAGAUAUUAAGAGGAACACCAGUGGCGAAGGCGGCUUACUGGACGGUAACUGACGUUGAGGCUCGAAAGCGUGGGAGCAAACA
rnacentral:rRNA from 1 species